rnacentral:rRNA from 1 species
UACGUUCCCGGGCCUUGUACACACCGCCCGUCAAGUCAUGAAAGUCGGUAACACCCGAAGCCGGUGGCCCAACCCUUUUGGGAGGGAGCCGUCGAAGGUGGGACUGGCGAUUAGGACU